rnacentral:sRNA from 1 species
UUAAUCGAAGCGUGAAAUGCCUAUUAAAAAAACAGGAUCUGCCCGACAUCAGACAGACCCUAUAGUACACACAGCAGUGCGUCCUUUCGCCAAUCCUGGGUAUUAUUUCCAUGGGGCAGGUAUAUUUAGGUAUAACACUUUUCCAGAAAAAUGAA